CAUAAAAUUUAAAAAGGAAAUCAUCCACAAACUCCAGUACUUUGAUUAUCAGUAAGAAGUUACUUGUGACACUUUUCACAACAGAUGACAUACACUUGAGGACAACUACAAGACAGACUCUUGAAAGGGCGCCACAGUAGGGCCGCACAAGGCAGGCACGGCGCUGGGAAGCAGGCGGUGAGGAGGCCAGAGCAGGUAAUGGCAGAGGGACUAGCAGUCAGCAGAGCUAUUCGGGAGGCGGAUUAUGCUUGAGCUGAGAUGCGGAGGAGGAGGAAGGGAUUCAGAGGGGCUCCCUACGGAUUCCAUUCACUAAUACAGUUUGGUUUGAGAUAGACUGAUUUUGAGGUUCUUCUAGAACAAACCUUCAGAAAUAGAUGUGACAGACACAUGCAUCAGAGGGACAGAGGUCCGAGCUGAAGACAAAGGUGAGCGUAAAAAGUCUCUGUAGAAACUGAGGGGAGAUGCCAGAGGGAGAAGAGAGCAAAGGUGGUUGUCCAGGCAACACUGACAACAUGAGGAGGAGAGGUUGUGCAGAUUUCAAAUAUGACUGACAGGCAAAGGAGAGACACAGCAAACCUCAAGUGAUGUUAUGGAAGCCAAAGGAAGACUUUCCAGAAAGGAGAGAGAGGGUCAAAGGUCACUUCAGUAACUGAAGACAGUGGAGCCUGGAGCUGUGCAAUGAGAAGGGGGGAAUGCAGGUGGAUCAGCAUCGUGUCCGUGAUGGAAACAAGAAAAGACGAAGGAAGCUGAGAUCCUGGCGGAAUAAAGUGUGGCCUGGAACUAAAGGGUACCGCCCACUCCCCACUGAGAAUCCAGGCCGAUGAGCAUCCCUCUUAUGGAUUGGAACGCUGAGGUGGGAGAAGGUCUCAGAAGAUUGUUGGGAAGCCUGGCGUGGGCGCAGCAUCAGGUUGGCAAGGUACUUUAGCUCUUUGCCCUUCAGCUUUCCCAAGCAGUGCCUGGCACCUGGUAACUGCUCAAUUAGUCAGGGUUGUUGUUAAAUAUCCUUGAAGGACAUUUCAUCCAGGCUAAGGUAUCGCCUGUAGAAUUGUCCCUGUCCCCACUAAAAGCCAUGGCCUAAGGCCACGACCCGCAACAUCAGCGCAAAGCACCCCCAGUGGCAGCAUAAACUGGUCCCCUGGAGGAUUGCAUUCCGCAUGGGGGCACUGCCCUCUGCUGGCCGCCCUGUGUGUGUGCAGCUUAGCCUGGCAGCCUCUGGCCUUCAUGGGCUGGUCCCGCCCGAGGGCGGUCUCCGGUAGGUAUGGUGCAGGGGGAUCCUACUCACAGCCGCUGCCUGUCUUUAGGGAUCUUUUUCUUCAUGUAGGUUCUCUGAGUGUCUGAGACCAACAUUUACUGAUGUGUCUCCCACGUGGUGGUGGGGGGGGGGGGCGCUUCUUGCUUGAAACUACAAGAAUUCUGGGCAUAUAAGAAGUCCGUCCAAAUUCUGACCCCACCAACCUAGCAUGGCUUCUGGAAGCCUAAGGCCCCAUCCCCGGGACAACCCAGGCCUGCUAAGUUCCCAUCUGAAAAAGCUCUGGGCUGUCACAAGAGCUUACUGUUUGUUCUAGCCAAUAUUUGACCAUAGGCCUCUGACACCCUGCCCACCCCCCACCCCCAGACCUUUCUUAGAGCAUUUACUUUAAAAAGCUUACAAUUGCAAAUCCUUCCUCUGUCCCUUUGAGAUAUGUACGUAUGUAUCUCCUGCAACCCAGGAACGUCUUUCUCAAGGACCCAAAAGCCCUUCCUCUGAAAUGGAAUCAGGAAGGAUGGGCCUCUGUCCCCCUGUCUCUGUGGAGACGCAGCUGGACUAGUCACUCUGGCACUGACCAACCCUUGCGGUUUUUCACUCUCCUGAGUCUACCUGGGCCCACUCACCCCUCUCCCUCCUCUCUCAUUCUCCCUCAAACGGACCAGUCACCUCAGCACCCACUGGACAGAGCUCACAUUUCCCCUACUGUCAGUAGUUACAGAAUAAAACCCCAUUUCAUCGCUUUAACGAAUGUCCAGCUGUGUUUAUCUCUGACAAAUCCUGCUCAGCCUGCAGUUCCUGCCUUGGGUGUGGGGCGGAAGCUUCCGUAGGAAGGCAAUCCUCACAGAGCCGGUGGGCACCAGAACCUGGGAGGGGGUGCAGCGCAGCCAAGCUCUCAGCCUCUCACCACAAUAGGGCUGCACAGGCAGAAAGAAAGGAAGGAAGAGGGGAGCACAGCCACCAUGCUGGGAAGGAGCCGCCCCCUCUGAGCUGCUCAGGGGACGCCCAGAGAGCAGGGGCACUCCCCUGGACCCCCCCUCCCCAGGAACUGAGGAUGCCUCCACCGUGGUGGUUCAGUGAGAAUUCAGAGACAGACACACACAUGCCUCGGUCUGACGAGGAGCUGGGGCAGUGCAACACUGGGGAAGCCCAGAACCUGAAGAAGGAGAAGCAACCAUUUGUGAGACACCCUCCCCCAACCCUGAGCCUGGACCAGUGAUCUUCAGCACCCCAGACCCCAGGCCCUAAGGGGGAAUGCAGCUCGGGGAGCAGAUGGCCCAGGAGGCUGGGCUUGGUUUAAGUUUCAGCUGCAGGGCUGGAGGCUGGAGGUACAGGGCAGCCUUAUGGGGUACGUUCCCCAGGCCCAGGGCCUGACCUGCAGAGACCCAGAAAAACUGACCCAAGAAGGUCCCCUCCUUGUUUCGCCCCCUUCCAUCUCUCUAGGCUUUUCAGAGGGUCUGAGGGGUUCGCCUCAAGCUGUCACUUGUCUUUCUCACCUUCCCUGCCCUCCUUCUCAAGGAACCAGUCCCUCCUCUCGAAUCACUUCCUUGGGACUUCAUGACAUUAUGCUCACCCACUCUCCUCCUGUGUCCUUGGCAGCCUCUCGUAUCCUCGACGGGCUGUCUUCACCUGCCCACCCCACGAAUGCUGGCACUCCCCAGGUUCUAGUCCGGGCUUUUCCCAUUCACACUCCAACCCCAGGCCUCAGGGAUAAGUCAUUAUUGUUUGAAGAUUCUCAGCUCUUCAGGCCGCAUCUUCCU